rnacentral:tmRNA from 1 species
GGGGAUGACAUGGCUUCGACGUGGGUAAUGAAACCUGAGGUGCAUGCAGAGGUGUGAAGUUCCUCUUAAAACCGUUCACAAAACUUAUAGUUGCCAACGACGACAACUACGCUUUAGCAGCUUAAAAACCUGCGUAAAGCCCUCGGCCUGAUGUGUGCUUAUACGCUCAGUUAACCGGGGUCGACUCAUAUAAGCUCGCGAUGAAGUUUUUUCUGGGUGGAUUCGCUAAAACUUAACAGAAAUCGCUUUGUAUUUUCCCUGCUCGUCGGGUAAUACAUUGUUAAAUCAAUAGACGAAAUAAGCAUGUAGAGCCGAUGGCGGAGUGCUUGCGGACGCGGGUUCAAUUCCCGCCAUCUCCACCA